rnacentral:misc_RNA from 1 species
UCCGGUUUGUCACCGGCAGUCACGCCAGAGUGCCCGGCUUUACCCGUUGGCAACUGGCAUCGAGGGUUGCGCUCGUUGCGGGACUUAACCCAACAUCUCACGACACGAGCUGACGACAGCCAUGCACCACCUGUCUUGGAGUUCCUUGCGGCACCCCGGUAUUUCUACCAGGUUCUCCAGAUGUCAAGCCUUGGUAAGGUUCUUCGCGUUGCAUCGAAUUAAACCACAUGCUCCACCGCUUGUGCGGGCCCCCGUCAAUUCCUUUGAGUUUCAGUCUUGCGACCGUACUCCCCAGGCGGGAUACUUAACGCGUUAGCUACAGCACCGAGGGGGUUGAUACCCUCGACACUUAGUAUCCAUCGUUUACGGCUCGGACUAC